GAGUGGCGGACGGGUGAGUAAUGCUUGGGAACUUGCCUUUGCGAGGGGGAUAACAGUUGGAAACGACUGCUAAUACCGCAUAAUGUCUACGGACCAAACGGGGCUUCGGCUCCGGCGCAAAGAGAGGCCCAAGUGAGAUUAGCUAGUUGGUGGGGUAACGGCCCACCAAGGCGACGAUCUAUAGCUGGUUUGAGAGGAUGAUCAGCCACACUGGGACUGAGACACGGCCCAGACUCCUACGGGAGGCAGCAGUGGGGAAUAUUGGACAAUGGGGGAAACCCUGAUCCAGCCAUGCCGCGUGAGUGAAGAAGGCCCUAGGGUUGUAAAGCUCUUUCAACUGAGACGAUGAUGACGGUAUCAGUACAAGAAGCCCCGGCUAACUUCGUGCCAGCAGCCGCGGUAAUACGGAGGGUGCGAGCGUUAAUCGGAAUUACUGGGCGUAAAGCGCACGCAGGCGGUUUGUUAAGCUAGAUGUGAAAGCCCCGGGCUCAACCUGGGAUGGUCAUUUAGAACUGGCAGACUAGAGUCUUGGAGAGGGGAGUGGAAUUCCAGGUGUAGCGGUGAAAUGCGUAGAUAUCUGGAGGAACAUCAGUGGCGAAGGCGACUCCCUGGCCAAAGACUGACGCUCAUGUGCGAAAGUGUGGGUAGCGAACAGGAUUAGAUACCCUGGUAGUCCACACCGUAAACGCUGUCUACUAGCUGUGUGUGCCUUUA
rnacentral:rRNA from 1 species